CAAAAGAAGCCGAAGAAGAAGUAGCCAGGUACCCUACCGUGUCUUCGAGCAGCCGGUCAGCUCAGGACAACAGCAUCCAAAUCAUGGUUUUCGAGGAGAUGAUCCUGAACGGAGAGCCCGAUGAUGAUGAAGAAGAGGAGGACGAAGAAAUGGUGGGUUCUUUGAGAUGAAGAUGAAGCAUGACGAGAGCAACGACGCCUUCAUCAGAGCGUCCCGCGCCGUCACCGACAACAUGACCGACCUAAUAGGUGGGUUGUUUUCAAAGACUGAGAUGUCUGAGGUCCUAACAGAGAUUUUGAAGGUGGAUCCUUCCUAAAGACUCCUUUCUGAAGCAGUGUGAACAAGAUAUCAUCCCCAGUAUACUGGAGGUGGGCAGUUCUGGAAUUAUCUCCUCUUUUAUUGGGUCUGUAGAUGUACAGCCAACUCGCACAUCCAAUCCAGCGAGCCAAGGCCAUGGGGCUUCAGUUCCACUCCAAGAUCCUGGACGUUGACAACAUCGAUCUGGCUAUGGGGAAGAUGAUGGACCAGGGGCCGGUUCCAGGCUCGGUUAGUCAUGGUGAUCCGAAACACCAGAGGAGACAUGGUGGAGGGAGACCCUGAUGAUGUACGUUUGGGCUCUGUGUCGAGACCAGGAGGAGCUGAACCCGUACGCCGCCUGGAGGCUGCUGGACAUCUCUGCCUCCAGCACCGAACAGAUCCUCUGAGACUCUUUGAUAGGCACAGAAACACCCAGGGAGAGGACACCGUGCACCGAACGGGCCUCGGACCGGCCAGGGAGGGUCGGUUCUGGUGGGGGGGAUGGACUGACGUCACUACAGGAGCGUUGGGGAGUUGUGCUGCUAAACGCUAGCUGCUUCACUGUCUCCCUUGGUUUUUUUUUUGUUUAGUUUUUUUUUACUACACUUGCUUUGGGUUCACUCACUUCGGGUUUCCUGACCAUUCCUCUGGCUCACACUAGGGGGCAGUAGAGCACCAACAACACUCACCACAGUCCUUCCUGCAACCUGCAUGAAUGAGGAUCUGUUUGCUGCAGGGCUGCCAGUGUUAAAUGAUGAAUAAAGUUGUUUCACGUUGCUAUUUUACUAUGAUUUUGAGAAUAUGUGAUGCGGAAAUCAUGGGAACGGUUUGGUAACUUGGGGUUGGAGGUAGUUUCUUGAAGCUGCUGCCCUCCCCCGUCUAACGAGUCCAUCUCCUUCCUCUGGGAGGCGGUGUUUCUGUAGCGGUCGGUGCCAAUCAGCGCUCUGCCAUCCUCAUCCUCAAGGAUCUCAGUCCUUGUUUGUAUGAUAAUCAUUUAAUUGUUAAACUGUGAGAAAGUCUAUUUAUUAUGAAGAAUAAAGAUGAACCCUGUUUUCUCAUGA